rnacentral:rRNA from 1 species
GACUAACGCUGGCGGCGCGCCUAACACAUGCAAGUCGAACGGAGCUGAGAGGAGCUUGCUUUUCUUAGCUUAGUGGCGAACGGGUGAGUAACGCGUGAGUAACCUGCCCUGGAGUGGGGGACAACAGUUGGAAACGACUGCUAAUACCGCAUAAGCCCACGGUCUCGCAUGGGACUGAGGGAAAAGGACUUAUUCGCUUCAGGAUGGACUCGCGUCCAAUUAGCUAGUUGGUGAGGUAACGGCCCACCAAGGCGAUGAUUGGUAGCCGGACUGAGAGGUUGAACGGCCACAUUGGGACUGAGGCACGGCCCAGACUCCUACGGGAGGCAGCAGUGGGGGAUAUUGCACAAUGGGGGAAACCCUGAUGCAGCGACGCCGCGUGGAGGAAGAAGGUUUUCGGAUUGUAAACUCCUGUCGUUAGGGACGAUAAUGACGGUACCUAACAAGAAAGCACCGGCUAACUACGUGCCAGCCGCCGCGGUAA